rnacentral:rRNA from 1 species
UGGGGAAUAUUGCACAAUGGGCGCAAGCCUGAUGCAGCAACGCCGCGUGAACGAUGAAGGUCUUCGGAUCGUAAAGUUCUGUUGCAGGGGAAGAUAAUGACGGUACCCUGUGAGGAAGCCCCGGCUAACUACGUGCCAGCAGCCGCGGUAAUACGUAGGGGGCUAGCGUUAUCCGGAUUUACUGGGCGUAAAGGGUGCGUAGGUGGUCUUUCAAGUCGGUGGUUAAAGGCUACGGCUCAACCGUAGUUAGCCUCCGAAACUGGAAGACUUGAGUGCCGGAGAGGAAGGUGGAAUUCCCAGUGUAGCGGUGAAAUGCGUAGAUAUUGGGGGGAACACCAGUGGCGCAGGCGGCUUUCUGGACUGCAACUGACACUGAGGCACGAAAGCGUGGGUAGCAAACAGG